CUCUUAAAGGGUUAAGAAGAGGGACUCCCCUCGCGCCGUCGUCGUCGCUCGGCUUCGGAUUUGGAUUUGGUCAAAUGAUCUGAUUGAUUGAUAAUCUAUGGCCUUUCCCGAACAGGCACCAAGCCUUUCCGAACAGUCACAAUUUAUGAAAAUAUUGCUCCGAAAAAGCUGCAGACUGUCGUGCUCCGAAAAAGGAAAAGAAGAAGGGUCAGGCUAAUAUGGUUG
rnacentral:lncRNA from 1 species